CUCACCUUAGUUUAAUAAAAACACCUGUUUUGGGUACAGGAGUUCGAGUGUAUUUUGAGGUGUGAC
rnacentral:tRNA from 1 species